AAACAUGUCUUUUUGAAUAUAAUUUAAAGUCAAAUCUGCUCUAUGAAUUAUUUUAAAUGGCUGCGGUAAUUUGACCGUACUAAGGUAGCAUAAUCAAUAGUUUCUUAAUUAGAAGCUGGAAUGAAUGAUUAAAUGAAAUAUUUAUUGUCUCAAUAUUAAUAAUUUUAAAAUUUUUUUAUUAGUUAAAAAACUAAUAUAAAUUUAAAGGACGAGAAGACCCUAUAGAUUUUUAUAAUAAUAUUAUUAAUUUAUUGUUAAAUAAAUAUUUUAUUAAGUAUCUUAUUAUUAAGUUGGGGAAAUUUUUAAAUUUUUUAAAUUUUAAAUUUAUAAUUACAAUAAUUAUUGAAUAAUUGAUUAUAAUUUAUAUAAUAAUAGAAUAAAUUACCUUAGGGAUAACAGCGUUAUUUUUUUUGAAAGUUCAUAUAGAUAAAAAAGUUUGCGACCUCGAUGUUGAAUUAAGAUAAAAUUUUAAUGAAGGAGUUAAAAAUUUUUGGUUUGUUCAACCAUUAAAAUCUUACGUGAUCUGAGUUCAGACC
rnacentral:rRNA from 1 species